UACGAAGGGGGCGAGCGUUGUUCGGAUUUACUGGGCGUAAAGGGCGCGUAGGCGGCGCCGCAAGUCGCGUGUGAAAGCCCCGGGAUCAACCUGGGAACGGCGCGCGAAACGGGGGGGCUGGAGUUCGGGAGAGGAGCGUGGAAUUCCCAGUGUAGAGGUGAAAUUCGUAGAUAUUGGGAAGAAAACCGGUGGCGAAGGCGGCGCUCUGGACCGAGACUGACGCUGAGGCGCGAAAGCGUGGGGAGCAAACAGG
rnacentral:rRNA from 1 species